AUCAUAUAUAAUUCAACAAAAUCUGGAUGAAAAUAUAAAAAAUGAUAGAUCACCAAAAGUAAACCUGCAAAUUACAUAGUUAGACUAAAUAAAAUUAUUGAUGAAUUUUGAAAUUUUGGGGUGGAACGCAUUGACAAUUCACAAAUCACAUCAUCAAUUACAUUUAAAAAAUAAUCACCAAAAAAAAAUUCAGACCAAGCAAUUAACAAUCUUACAAUUUGAAUCUCGUGAUUGAAAAAACAUCCAUGCAUAUAACGAGAUAAAAAUCACACUUCGGAGAGAAAGGAAAAAAAAAGGCAAUCAUCAUUACCUACAUUGAGAAUUUGAGAUUGCACGACGCCGUGGACAGACAACAUAUUGGUUCGUUUGCAAAAACACUUGUGCAUGCGUGUUGCAGACAGAGAAAUGAAUGAAUGAAUGAGAAGUUGAUGGAUGAAUCGGCAAUCGGCAUUAGGGAUUUCGGCCAUUUGGGUAAUUGAGGGGGAAGGGGAGUGGACGACUAGAGGAGGACGGAUGGUAUUUUGAUCACCUUGGUAUGAACGUAUGGUAUAUUUGCAAUAAGAUUUCUUAUUUUACGUUCUCAUUUUUAUCAAGCCAUUAAGGUGGGUACAUUUGUAUUAAUCACCUUACUCUAUUUUCCAUAGUAAUUUAUAGACGGUUAAUAUUGGGCGAAACCAAAUUUGGAAAAAGCCGAAUCAAUAUCCAGGUUUUUAUGGCAACCUCAAUCUUCACCAUUCUUUCGGAUCUAAUCGGAAAGGGGCGACCCGCCUGAAAAUAUAAAAAUAAUAAAUAAAUAAACCUAAAAUUUAAAAUAGAUAUUCUUUUUACCUUAAAUUUUAAAAGUAAAUAUAAAAUGGACAUAAUCUUUAAGAAAUAAGAUUUAAGCUUUAAAAUAUAAUAAAUUUUUAAUUUUAAUAAUCCUAUAUCUAAUUUAAUUUAUUCAAAAAAUAAAAAAUAUAUUUAUUUUAAAAAAACCAGGGCCACCCGCCCGGGUUUCGCCCUGCCCCGAGACCCGGCAGGAAUAUGACCGGGGCAACUAUGCAAAAUAUCUGCCCGUCCCCGGUUACCACCGGGGCACGGAAGGGGAGGGACUGGGGCGACCCGCCCCAUUCUCACCCUUAUUUAGCAUGUACUCACUCAUUGGAAAAUCCGGACUGGUCUAGGCCCCCUCAAGCGAAUGGGAAGUUCUUCCUUGAGCUUGGAAGAGAGAAACUCAAAAUCCGAUCUUGGUACCGGCUUAAUUUGUCAACAAGUCUGUUCUCUGAUUCUUUGAACCAAUUUAAUUUCAAUUAUCUUCUCUCUAACUCGUUCCCAUAUAAAAUUGUAAUUCAUCGAAAAAUGUUUGGAUUUCAUGUGAUGUGAAUGAUUUUUCAAAAUUGCGAUGGCACCCGUGUUAUCACACCAUAUUGUCAUAGGAGUAGGAAUUAAAAAUUGAUCAGAAGAAGAUGUAAUAUUAAUAUAUGUUACAAUUGCACUUGAUGUUGCUAAGGUUACAAUUACGGAAGAUGGGUCAAAGACCAUACCAAGUCCAGAUAACUCGCCAUCAAUGUCUGACCUAUUAGAUAAAUAAUUAUAUAAGCAAUUAUAUGCUAUUAUAUGGUUAUAUUGUAAAUUAACCAACCUAAUAUGUUGGUUAAGAUAUAUAGAAUGAUUAUAUAUAGUUUAAGUCUGUAUUAAUUGGAUACAAAGGAAAAUAGUUUUACAAAAUACAAAGAUGUACGUUUUAUUUUGAUAUCUUGUCAUGGUAUCAAAGCGACGUCGGUUCAGUUCGAGAAAGUAGCUGCGUAUGUACAAUCGUCAUCACCAACGGAUGAUCAUCGUCACUAAGAUUUCAUCAUUCUCUUCUUCCAAUUCUUUCUUGUCAUGACCAAACCCAGGUUGGACAACCAAGAACCAGGCACUCAGUUAAACUGACUCAAGAUCUUAAAAGUUUCUAACUAGGGUUAACAGUUAGUAGUUAGCUAAUUAGUUAUUCAGAAUAAUCGCUUUUUGUAAUUUCUAUAUAAUAUGUUAACUACAUACAAUGAAGUAUCUCUUGAAUCUCAAACUCCCUCAGGAGAACUCUUCUUCUUUCCUUAGUCACGCCCUAAGUUCCCUAUGCACAUUCCAACAAAUGAAUAAUCCUCGCUACUGGGAUUUACAGACGCCAACCAUGCCUAUGAUGUGCGGCAACGGAUGCGGAUUUUUUGGCAACUCCGCGACGAACAACCUGUGCUCUAAAUUCUACAAGGAUCACAUCUUGAGUAAAUCAAAACUUGCUCCGAUGGAUUCCAUCGUCCCCUUUCCUUGUAAGGAAAACGUGGAAAUAACUCAUUAUUUCAAGAUAGGAUCCUCGGAGAAACCUGUAGCAAAAGUAAACAAAGACAAACUAGCUCAUGACAAAGCUGUGCAUGCGUGUUCCAGAAAGAGAAAUGAAUGAAUGAGAAGUUGAUGGAUGAAUCGACCAUAGGGAAUGCGAUCCAGAAGUCGGCAUUAGGGAUUUCGGCCAUUUGGGUAAUUGUGGGGGAGGGGGAGUGGACGACUAGAGGAGGACGGACGGUAUUUUGAUCACCUUGGUAUGAAUGCAUGAUAUAUUUGCAAUAAGAUUCCUUAUUUUACGUUCUCAUUUUUAUCAACGGUUAAUAUUCCAUAGUAAUUUAUGGACGGUUAAUAUUGGGCGAAACCAAAAUUUGAAAAAACCGAGUCAAUAUAUUGAACUAACCAAUGAGGUGGUUAACUAAUUCAAUAAACCUUUAGAGUUGGUUAGGAGUGAAUGAGCUAUAACUUACGUGUAUAAAUAACACUUUGAUAUAAACCAUUAUCAUCUUCUCAGAUUCAAUUGAAUGAGUCUUGUUCUCACCCACGAAUCAAUGGAAUUCAUAUAUGGUAUCAGAGCGGUGGCGAUCUUGCGAUUUCUGCGUUCUAAGGCAUCACCAUAAGGAGUGCUCUGUGCCCGUGUCCUGCAGUUUUUUUCCCCCUGCAUUCGCAUUCUACGAUUUGUCUCUCCUUCCUUCUUUUUCCGCUGCAACUAUUCCAGAUCACGUCUGCGUGUUAUUUCCCGUCCGCUGCAACGAUCGUCGACAUUUCGACGACGCAAUUUGCAUCCAAACGGCGACUUCCAGAUCGCGUUCUCUGCAAUUAUCCGUUCGCGUUUCCGUUCCAGAUCGCGUCUCCGUUCCAGAUCACGUCUCCGAUCCAGAUCGCUGUUACCCCUUUUCCAGAUCGUGUCUCAGCUCCAGAUUGCAUCUCAAUUCCAGAUUGCGUCUCAAUUCUAGACCGCGUUUUUUGUUUUUCUGUUCCAGAUUCCAGAUCGCGUUUCUUUUUCCAGAUCUUCAUUCUCCGUUCCAGAUCACGUUCUUGACUUCGUUUACUGAGGUCAGAUUUUCGUUUUGUAUUUUUUUCUUCUUCAAAUCAAGAUUCUGCACAUCAGGAUUCUUCCGAUUCUACAUCAAGAUCUGCUGCGAUCUGCUUCCGUUCCAGAUCGCUGCUGCUUCCGUUCCAGAUCGCUUUCCAUUCCAGAUCGCUGCUGCUUCCGUUCCUGAUCGAUUUCCGGCAUUGCUGCGAUUUCACGAUCUGCUGCGAACUGAAAUUGAUUUCUCGUUUGCAUUUUUUUUCUUCAAAUCAAGAUUCUGCACAUCCGGAUUCUUCCGAUUUGUAUUUCCGUUGCUGCUGUCUCGCAUUUUCACAUCCGUGAUUUUGCCGCUGCAUUCCAGAGAAAUUGAUUCCGUGAUUUCGCCGCUGCAUUCCAGAUCGCUGCAAUUUUUUUUUCUAGAUCGUGCUGUUUUCCAUUCGCGUGUUGACUUCCGCAUUCUUCACAGUCCCCGCUCUCUGAUCGCGUUUCUCCGCCAACAUCUGUUCGCGUCAUUACUGCAAUCUGGUUUGCAAUUAAUUUUUUUUACUGCAAACACAUUCUCCACAACGAUCGUGCUUCGUCAUUCUGAACAAAUAUGUCUGCUCCGUCAAAUUCUUCCGCUGAAAUCAAUCCAACUAUGACUGUCGCUGCUCCAUCAACGAAGGUAGUCAUGAAACACGUUAAAUGUAUACAGCUCGACAAAAGCAACUACUAUUUGUGGGAGGCUCAAUUUUCUGCAAUGCUCCGCGGCUUUGGGUUGAUCGAUUACGUCGAGGGAAAUGUCAUACUUACUACGCCAACUUCGCUCCAACAAGAUCAACUAAUUCUCAGUUGGAUCUUGACAGGUAUUUCACCGGCCAUUCUACCACAAGUGGUGUCCUAUAAGACCUCUGCCAGAGUAUGGUCUCUCUUACGGAAGUUGUUAGCCUCCAACACAUAAACAAAGCAGUUGCAGCUAUUGUUUCAACUGCAAACGAUCAGGAAAUGAAACAUGGCAAUCGAGGAGUUCAUCACCAAAAUUUCAAUUCUAAAAGACUUGAUUGCAGCAACAGGAGAAUAGGUCAAGGAUCCACAACUAAUCUUGAUCACGUUGGGAGCUUUGGGUGAUGACUACAAGACCAGAUCCAAAUAUGACAUUCGACACCUUGUGCUAAAUGCUAAUGGAUCAAGAAAUACGUCGUGAAAACAAGAUAAAUCAUAACACCGUUUCGGUUAAUGCUGCGUAUAAAAAGACUACACCAGAAUCAAUCUCAAAGGUGUCAGAUAUAAAAUGUCAAAUAUGCAACAGAAAAUCCUACAGUGCGUUAAAUUGUUACAAUCGUUUGAACAUAACCCAAUUUAAACCAACACAUAAUCGAGAGCUAUCGCCGUUUGGUCCGAAAGGAAACAACAAAACGUCCCCUCUUUCGGCAAACAUUGCGGAAGCAUCCGAAGCUCUCACCAUGUGGUACCCUGACUCCGGAGCUUCAUCACAUAUAACAGCAACGUCGGAAAACAUUCAAAAGCCACGACCAUAUUCUGGUAAGGACUGUAUUCUGACUGCAGAUGGAUCUCCCCUACCAAUAUUACACUCCGGUAAAAGUAUGAUUCAGACCUCAGUAAAUCCUUUAUCGCUACACGAUAUGCUGCAUGUUCCGUUGGCAACCCGUAACUUACUUUCGGUAAAUCGACUUUGUAAUGAUAAUGCAGUUUCUAUUUUAUUUGAUUCACAGAAAGUUCAAAUCAAGGAUACAAUUACUGAUCGCGUAUUGUUGGAGGGACGGGCACGUGAAGGACUAUACGAGCUACCACUGAGCAUGAAUCACACCGGAGCGGCAUUGAGUUGCGAGAAGCUAUCUCAUCUUUUAUGGCAUUCUCGUCUAGGAUAUUUAAACUCUAAAAAUAUGUCUUUGCUCAUUCAUCAAGGACUAAUAAAAAUAACUUCAAAGAAUAAAUCAUUUUAUGAUUCACGUUCAGCCGGAAAGUCUCACGCCUCCUCACACCUGUCUCGACAUACCAAAUACGAACCACUAUCGUUGAUUUACUCUGAUAUUUGGGGACCCGCACCCGUCCUCUCUCAUGAAGGAUACUCAUACUACGUUAAUUUUAUUGACGCCACAACAAAUUACAAUUGGGUGUAUCCAAUGGUAAGGAAAUCAGAUAUUUACAAAUAUUUGAAAAUUUUCGACUUUAGGCAGAACGACAGUGCAUCAAGAAGAUUCUAGCGGUACAAAUGGACAAUGCGUUGGAAUUUAGGAAGUUAGGUUUGAGGAUGGCAGAUCUCGAAAUUCAACAUCGACAGUCCGUGCCUUAUUCUCACCAACAAAUGGGUCAUGUAGAACGAAGGCAUAGGCAUUUGAUUGACAUUGCCAUUGCAAUGAUCAAUCAAGCAAAGCUCCCCAACGCCAUGUGGGAUUUUGCUGUCCUCACAGCAUGCUAUCUGUACAACAAAAACCCAACUCCGCUACUUCAAAGAAAAUCUUCAAUUCAAGCUCUACUCGGCAAAAUACCCGACUACAAGAAAUUAAGAGUUUUCGGUAGCUGUUGUCAUCCGUGCCUCCGACCUUACAGAGAAAAUAAAUUAGAUGUAAAGUCAAAGCCAUGCAUCUUCAUCGGCUACUCAAUGAGCCAAGACUGCUAUCUCUAUCUCGAACCAAUUUCUCACCGAAUAUUUUCAUCUAGAGAUGUUACAUUCGAAGAAAUGGAGUUCUCGUCAAAUAAAGAAUUAUGUAAAAAUUCAUCGGGCAAGAAAGAAAAUUUUAUUCGAAAACAAAUAUCCCAAGAAUUGCCGGUGCUUGACUCCCAACAACACGUCACACUCGAAAAUACUAGAACAGAGGGCACAACCACAUCGUCAGAACCAAAUGAAGUUAUAAAUUCACAAAAAGCUCCUAAUACUAUGGAGAUAGGACACUCUUUGGCAGAUAAUUUUCCAGAAAACAACGAUGCUGUUGUUACAAAUGAAAAUGAAUAUACAGAGGCCCCAAGAAGAAUGACAACAAGAUCAGCAUCAGGAAUCGUGAAACCAAAUCCGAAGUUUGCCUUAGCAAUGGCAGCAUCAGACAUAACGGUACCACACGAUCACCCAAGUAUGCACUCACAAUCCCAGAAUGGAAAGCCGCAAUGAUAAAUGAAUUCGAAGCACUAGUGAAGAACGAAACAUGGACCUUAGUUCCACGACUACCAUCAAACAACGUCAUCAACACUAGAUGGAUAUUUAAAGUCAAGCCAAAAGAUGAUGGAUCUGUGGAAAGGUAUAAGGCACGUCUGGUUGCAAAUGGAAUGCGGCAAAUUCAAGGAUCGGAUUACCUCGAAACCUUUAGUCCGGUAGUACAACCUCUCUCUAUCAGACUAGUAUUGGCUUUGGCAAUCACAAAUGGAUGGUCGAUACACCAGAUCGAUGUAUCAAAUGCGUUUCUCCAUGGGAGCUUGAAAGAACGAAUUGUAGUUUCACAACCAUAUGGAUUUCAAGAUCCAACAGCACCAGAGCACGUCUGUCAACUAAACAAAGCUCUAUAUGGCCUUAAACAGAGCCGAAGGUGUUGGUUUCAACGACUUCGUGAGGUGCUCAGUUCGGUUGGGUUACAUGAAUCGAAAGUAGAUCCAUCAUUGUUUAUGUCAUUUGAAAAUGAAGAAAAAUUUCAUAUAUGUGUUUACGUCGAUGACAUCAUAAUAGCUGGAUCAAGUGAAGAUGGAGUAAAUCGGUUGACACGUCUACUCGCCGAAAAAUUUCCAAUCAGAGAUCUUGGCAAUCUGAAAUUUUUCUUAGGCGUGCAAGUCAACUACACAGGAGAAGGACUACACUUGUCCCAAACACAGUACCUGGUGAAUCAGUUACACAGUUGUAAUCUUGAAAACUUGAAGCCAUCCCCGACACCAAUGAUACCAAAUUCAGAAUUGCAAUCAAACGAUGAAUCACUUAAGGAUGCAACGGAGUUUCAACGAGUUAUCGGAUCACUACAGUAUAUCACAUUGACACGACCAGAUGUCCAAUUUGCAGUAAACAAAUAUCACAAUUCAUGUCAAACCCAACAUUAACUCAUUGGUUAGCGGUAAUGAAAAUAUUGCGUUUUCUUUCAGGUACACAACGCCACGGGAUAAUUCUACGCAAAAUGACAGACUACGGCAUUACAGCUUAUUGUGACGCCGAUUGGGGAGGAGACACCAUCGACAGAAAAAGCCGCACAGGUUUUCUGGUUUACGUCGGACGAACGUUAGUUAAUUGGACGUCACGAAAACAAAAGACUCGAGCACGAUCAAGUACCGAGGCAGAAUAAAUAGCCAUUGCGGUUGCAUCACAAGAAAUCGGAGCAGUAAGACUAGUCCUAAAUGAAUUAGGAAUUAAAGUACCAACACCGAUGAAGAUUCUGACAGACAACCUGGGUGCAUUAUUCAUUGCACGGAACCCAAUCGGACAUAUAUGAUUGAAACACGUCGCAAUAGAUCUUCACUUUGUUCGCGAGAAGACCGAAAAUGGAGACGGACCAAUGGGCAGAUAUUUUGACGAAGUCCUUAGCACCAAAGACAUUCCUAGCUCCUCAAAGGAAUCUCGUCGGAGAGCUCCCACGAGCUUGAGGAGGAGGGUAUAUUGAACCAACCAAUGAGGUGGUUAACUAGUUUAAUAAACCGUUAGAGUUGGUUAGGAGUGAAUUAGCUAUAACUUGCAUGUAUAAAUAACACUUCGAUGUAAACCAUUAUCACUAUCUUAGAUUCAAUUGAAUGAGUUUUGUUCUCACCCACGAAUCAAUGGAAUUUGUAUACAAUAUCCAGGUUUUUAUGGCAUCCUCAAUCUUCACCAUUCUUUUGGAUCUAAUCGGAUCGAUCCGAUUAGAUGAUGCUGAUAAGAUGGUGAAUCUACAAACAGUGAUUUAUAAUUACUCCAUGAGUAAUUUAUAAGUACUCCUCAAUAUUUGUUUUACUUACAAACAAUUUCACUGUUCUAUAUAAUUUCUAUUCAGAAUUUUUGGUUUGUGUGCAUCAUGUUCUCCGAACAAUGACCUCUACCUGCAUCUAAAACACUUGAAAAAACUGUUAGGUGUGGACUGCCUUCAUGCGGCUGGGUGCGGCCGCAGUAAACUAUGUGCAAAUCUCAAUGCUGACAUUAAGGUAUUCAUUCAUUUGUAUUUUAUAUCAUACAAACAAACCUUGGGAUUUCCUUUUUUUAAAAAAAUUUAAAAUAACAACUGCAUUCUGAUGAUGACAUGAUUCCUCAUGAACACUUGAAGCUUUUUGUGAAUAAGGUGGAACUAUCAUAUAUAAUUCAACAAAAUCUGGAUGAAAAUAUAAAAAAUGAUAGAUCACCAAAAGUAAACCUGCAAAUUACAUAGUUAAACUAAAUAAAAUUAUUGAUGAAUUUUGAAAUUUUGGGGUGGAACGCAUUGACAAUUCAAAAAUCAUAUCAUCAAUUACAUUUAAAAAAUAAUCACCAAAAAAAAAUUCAGACCAAGCAAUUAACAAUCUUACAAUUUGAAUCUCGUGAUUGAAAAAACAUCCAUGCAUAUAACGUGAUAAAAAUCACACUUCGGAGAGAAAGGAAAAAAUAAGGCAAUCAUCAUUACCUACAUUGAGAAUUUGAGAUUGCACGACGCCGUGGACAGACAACAUAUUGGUUCGUUUGCAAAAACACUUGUGCAUGCGUGUUGCAGACAGAGAAAUGAAUGAAUGAAUGAAUGAAUGAAUGAGAAGUUGAUGGAUGAAUCGGCAUUAGGGAUUUCGGCCAUAAGUCGGCAUUAGGGAUUUCGGCCAUUUGGGUAAUUGAGGGGGAAGGGGAGUGGACGACUAGAGGAGGACGGAUGGUAUUUUGAUCACCUUGGUAUGAACGUAUGGUAUAUUUGCAAUAACAUUUCUUAUUUUACGUUCUCAUUUUUAUCAAGCCAUUAAGGUGGGUACAUUUGUAUUAAUCACCUUACUCUAUUUUCCAUAGUAAUUUAUAGACGGUUAAUAUUGGGCGAAACCAAAU
rnacentral:lncRNA from 1 species